rnacentral:rRNA from 1 species
UUGAACGCUGGCGGAAUGCUUUACACAUGCAAGUCGAGCGGCAGCGCGGGGGCAACCCUGGCGGCGAGCGGCGAACGGGUGAGUAAUACAUCGGAACGUACCCAGUUGUGGGGGAUAGCCCGGCGAAAGCCGGAUUAAUACCGCAUAAGUCCUGAGGGAGAAAGCGGGGGACCGUAAGGCCUCGCGCGAUUGGAGCGGCCGAUGUUCGAUUAGCUAGUUGGUGGGGUAAAGGCCUACCAAGGCGACGAUCGAUAGCUGGUCUGAGAGGACGACCAGCCACACUGGAACUGAGACACGGUCCAGACUCCUACGGGAGGCAGCAGUGGGGAAUUUUGGACAAUGGGGGCAACCCUGAUCCAGCCAUGCCGCGUGAGUGAAGAAGGCCUUCGGGUUGUAAAGCUCUUUCAGCCGGGAAGAAAAUGCAUGGGUUAAUACCCUGUGCAGAUGACGGUACCGGAAUAAGAAGCACCGGCUAACUACGU